UUAUGUUAUCGAAAUAAAAAUACUGGCGAUGGGAUGUUCCAUUAGAAUACAACUAAACCAAUAAUAACAAGUAAUUAAAGAAUUUGUUAAUAUGCCAUUAAUUCAAAUAAUUAAUAAUACAAAAAGUAUAUUGAAAAGCUCUUAUGUACAUACGCACGACAAGUCGCUAUUUUGCACUUUUCUGAAUAGUACAGCAUGGCUGCAUACCAGUACGAAAUAAUGGCGGAUUCAUAAUUACCACUGACCAGUAUAUUAAUAUACAUUUCGAAAUUAAAGCAAACUAGAUUGUACUGCUCUAUUUGGUAGACCCUUCGAUGUAGCCAGAAUCUGAUUUUAUUAUCAAAUAUCUUUUAUUUGACUUGGUGUAACACAUGAAUUUACAUACAUUACCCUGUCUCCCGCCAAUUGCAUACGCAAUAAUCUCUCAACUUGCAGACUGCUUUCUCUUCACUCACAAACACGUGGUGCACAGAGUUCAGAAGAGAAAACAUCAACGAAAAAUCAUUUGACACUUAGUCCAAAUAUGACAAUGUCACAGUAAUAAAGUUCAAUUCUUGUUUUAAA